rnacentral:rRNA from 1 species
GAUGAACGCUGGCGGCGUGCCUAAUACAUGCAAGUCGAGCGAACAGACGAUGAGCUUGCUCCUUUGACGUUAGCGGCGGACGUGUGAGUAACACGUGUGUAACCUACCUAUAAGACGGGGAUAACUUCGGGAAACCGGAGCUAAUACCGGAUAAGAUUUCGAACCGCAGGGUUCGAUAGUGAAAUAUGGCGCUGCUAUCACGUAUAGAUGGACCUGCGCCGUAUUAUCUAGUUGGUAAGGUAACGGCUUACCAAGGCAAGGAGACGUAGACGACCUGAGAGGCUGGUAGCCCACCCUGGAACUGGGCCACGGUCAAGACUCCUACGGGAGGCAGCAGACGGGAAUCUUCCGCAAUGGGCGAAAGCCUGACGGAGCAGCGCCGCGUGAGUGAUGACGGUCUUCGGAUCGUAAAACUCUGUUAUUAGGGAAGAACAAACGUGUAAGUAACUGUGCACGUCUUGACGGUACCUAAUCAGAAAGCCACGGCUAACUACGUG